rnacentral:rRNA from 1 species
UUAGAUAUAAAUGAAUUUAAUUGUUUGCCAGAGUACUACGAACAAAAUCGUUUAAAACUCAAAGAGCUUGGCGGUGCUUUAGACUUCUCAGGGGAACUUGUCUCGUAAUCGACAGUCCACGAAUCAACCUCACCUUUCCUAGCAUUCAGUAUGUAUACCGUCGUCGUCAGGUAACUUUUAAAAAUAUAGGAGUUAGCAAGAAAACUUUUAGGUUUUCACGUCAGAUCAAGGUGCAGCCUAUGGAAAGGAGAAGAUGAGUUACAAUUAAGAAUUAUAAUUACGGAUAUUAGUCUUAAUGACUUUUAGAUGAAGGAGGACUUGAAAGUAUAAAUUAGUAGUUAGAUGUUUUGAAUUCAGCUCUGAAGCG